UAGCGAAGGGGGCUAGCGUUGUUCGGAUUUACUGGGCGUAAAGCGCACGUAGGCGGAUCUUUAAGUCAGAGGUGAAAUCCCAAGGCUCAACCUUGGAACUGCCUUUGAUACUGGGGAUCUUGAGUCCGGGAGAGGUGAGUGGAAUUCCGAGUGUAGAGGUGAAAUUCGUAGAUAUUCGGAAGAACACCAGUGGCGAAGGCGGCUCACUGGACUGGUAUUGACGCUGAGGUGGCGAAAGCGUGGGGAGCAAACAGG
rnacentral:rRNA from 1 species